UACGAAGGUGGCAAGCGUUGUUCGGAUUUACUGGGCGUACAGGGAGCGUAGGCGGUUGGGUAAGCCCUCCGUGAAAUCUUCGGGCCUAACCCGGAAAGUGCGGAGGGGACUGCUCGGCUAGAGGAUGGGAGAGGAGCGCGGAAUUCCCGGUGUAGCGGUGAAAUGCGCAGAUAUCGGGAGGAACACCAGUAGCGAAGGCGGCACUCUGGGCCGGUACUGACGCUGAGGAGCGAAAGCGUGGGGAGCGAACAGG
rnacentral:rRNA from 1 species